rnacentral:rRNA from 1 species
GAUGAACGCUAGCGGCAGGCUUAACACAUGCAAGUCGAGGGCGAGCACGAGGUAGCAAUACUUUGGUGGCGACCGGCGCACGGGUGCGUAACGCGUAUGCAACCUACCUUUAACAGGGGCAUAACACUGAGAAAUUGGUACUAAUUCCCAUAACAUUCGAGAAGGCAUCUUCUUAGGGUUAAAAACCUCCGGUGGUUAAAGAUGGGCAUGCGUUGUAUUAGCUAGUUGGUGAGGUAACGGCUCACCAAGGCAACGAUACAGUA